rnacentral:rRNA from 1 species
CCGUCGAGGUGUCGGGUUAAGUCCCAUAACGAGCGCAACCCCUAUGUUAGUUGCCAUCAGGUCAUGCUGGGGACUCUAACAAAACUGCCCGCGUAAGCGUGGAGGAAGGUGGGGAUGACGUCAAAUCAGCACGGCCCUUACGUCCAGGGCUACACACGUGCUACAAUGGCCGGUACAGAGGGCAGCCACUUGGUGACAAGGAGCAAAUCUCAAAAGCCGGUCUCAGUUCGGAUCGGAGUCUGCAACUCGACUCCGUGAAGUUGGAUUCGCUAGUAAUCGUAGAUCAGCAAUGCUACGGUGAAUACGUUCCCGGGCCUU